UAGACUAAAUACAAGAUAAAUACCUAUUAUGGGAUACAACGCCUGAUUGGAAUUAUUAAAGACAAGGGAAAAGUUUUGGCUUGUAGAGUGCAAUGCGAUAUUGAGUUCCAUGAAAUGGGUCUUCCUCCUCCCAGAAAUAGAGCACGUCCCCAGCUGCAAUCCCUCUGUCAUUGACAAACACUCUCCAUCCUCUAGACUGGAAAACUGGGUUUUUGUAUCUGCCCCGUUGUCUGCUGGAUAAUUUGAACCCGUAAACCUUCCACUUCUGGUUGUCGAAAACUCUGAUCGGGAUAUCACGAUCUGGAUCCUCCGGAGGCAGCAUUUCAAGCAUGG
rnacentral:lncRNA from 1 species